UGGGGAAUAUUGCACAAUGGGGGAAACCCUGAUGCAGCAACGCCGCGUGAGUGAGGAAGUAUUUCGGUAUGUAAAGCUCUAUCAGCAGGGAAUAGAAAAGAAGGUACCUGAAAAAGAAGCCCCGGCUAACUACGUGCC
rnacentral:rRNA from 1 species